rnacentral:rRNA from 1 species
AGCACCGGCUAACUCCGUGCCAGCAGCCGCGGUAAUACGGGGGGUGCAAGUGUUUUACGGAAUUAUUGGGCGUAAAGGGUGCGUAGGUGGUUUAAUAAGUUAUCUGUGAAAUUCCUGGGCUUAACCUAGGUAGGUCAGAUAAGACUGGUAGACUCGAGUAUGGGAGAGGGUAGUGGAAUUUCCGGUGUAGCGGUGAAAUGCGUAGAGAUCGGAAGGAACACCAGUGGCGAAGGCGGCUACCUGGCCUAAUACUGACACUGAGGCACGAAAGCGUGGGGAGCAAACAGGAUUAGAUACCCUGGUAGUCCACGCUGUAAACGAUGUCAACUAGCUGUUGG